AGUCAGAAGAAAGCAAGCUCCUUCUGACAACUUGCACCAAAGAAGUCAUCUCAGAGCUUCUGGUCUUGUACAAGACUGCAAUGUCAAAGGAGGACGCCCUGUACACUGUUGGAGAAAAAGGAUCAGGCUUCUCUAUUGAGAGAGAGAAAUUUGUAGAGGGUGUUCUGGCUCAGCUUGGGGAUAUUGCCCAUUCCAGGGCCUCAUCACCAAUAGUAUGUGAGUUCCCCUGUCAAAUUGAGGACAGCAGAAGUAAGGCCACAGCUUCUUUGACCAGUCUGUUAGAUUGUAUUAGAAAACUCUCAAGUGAGGAAUUUAAGAGAAAUGCCACUCAAGCAGUGAGUGAGUUCCUAGUUAAAAAGUCCACCAGUAGCUUAACUAGUGCACAGCCUGCUUAUUCUGUAGCAUCCAGGUCUUGUUCCAUUCAAAACCAGUACACAUGGUCAAAGGAUAUUUGUGCGGAUUCUGCUGCCUUUGGCAUCAUUGAAACAUUUGUGGAAGACCUGCAGAGCUCGGCGCAACCUGCAGAAGUAGAGGAGAGAGAACCUGACCUCCAGGAAAAUGCACAAAAGCUACAGAGCAGGAUCUGGUCUGCUACCACUAGUUUAUAUAACAAUAUUCAGAAGACAUUAAAGGACUUCAUCAUUCAUCAGCGGAGGUCAGACAUGCUGAGCAGAAUGUCUAGUCAUAUACCCACAGAGGACUCUGGACAUCUUGGGACUAAGGAGCACAUUUGUUUGGCAAGCCAGGACUUGAGGCAAGCUAGUAAGAGUGUGCCUCACUUUCACAGUUUGAACCUUGAAGUGGCUCUACACAGGGGUGUCAGCGAGUGUUCAAAACUUCUCUGGACUGAAACAGACGAGGCUCUACUGACCAAUAGUACCAAAGAGGUCAUUUCAACAAUCUUGACCUCAUGCGAGGAUCAGGCAUCAAAUGCACCUUGCUUCUCCACAGUAGGAAAGAAAAUAUCUGAUAUGUCCCUUGAGGUCAACAUGUUGGUAGGUGGUGUUCUGUCUCAGCUGAAGGACAUCUCCUUGUCAAGGUCCCCAACACCAUGUGAAGACAUGUUUGAACGUCUCCAAGGUUCUCCUGAGCGAACCUCUCCAGUAAGUCUAGAUUGCAGCACGGCUGCCUCCAAAGGCAUUGCAUCUUCCCACAGUCUUUCAACAAAGAGCCUCCAAAAACGUUCUAGUCAUGAGUUCCAAACCAAAGCUGAGAAAGGAGUGAGUGAGGUAAUCUCUAGAUCAUUUAACAUUGCGGAGGAAGGUACAACAGAUAAGUACCUCCAGUCUGUAUCUACAUCCACCACAUCUACUGAUAUUAUACAAACCAUGGUGAAAGACCAGCAGGAGCUCACCCAGACCACCCAAUCAUCUGACAUGGUAUCUGGAACCUCCCUGCUCACCACUGGACAGGUUUCUGAGAAAAGAAUCUGGUCUGUUGCUCGUAACAUCUACUACAGUCUGCAAAGUAAGAUUACGGAGUUUCUCAGAAAAGAUCUUCAAAGAUCAGACACAACACUUGGUUCAAUCCAAAUAUUUACAUAUCAAAGCAGUCCUGCUUCACAAAGAGCAAGUCUCGGCCAUCUUGAGGUCAACCAGAGCAGUGUUACACCUGGUGGAAACGAUGCCUGUGUGGACAUUCCGCACAAAUUACUACCUAAAACCACUGAGCUCUCAGGAUCCAUGCUGGAGGAUAUUGGCACGAUCCGUUGUAGGAGUGCUGACAGCCCAAAUACAAGAAAUACCUCUUCUUCACGCUCCUCCAUCUCUCUAACACCUACUUCAAAAUUAAGGCAGUCGAAAUGGCACUUUGCUUUACCCGGGACUCCCAUCCCCACUGAGUUUCCUGCUCAGAUUGACUUUCCCAUUGUUAGAAACACAAUCAUUGAGGACUUCUUUCACACAGAGGACUUACUUCCUGUAACCUUUGUGGACAAAGUCAGGCAAGCUGCUGGGGUGGUAGUGGACAUUAUGGUGGAAAGUGUUGAGAACACACAGGAAAAUGGACAGGGUGCUUCACAUCUUGACGACCUCCGAUCUGCUGUUAGGAAAUUGAGAAAAAUCAUUUCCACUUGGACCAUCCACAUUUUCAGCCAUGAAUUGUUGGAUAAAGUGAUAGCCCUUCAGGACAGCCACAGCACUCCACAGGUCUUAACAUUGGAAGCAGCCAAAAGUGCUUCAGACUCCAUUCUUUCAAGGCUGAAAUGGGGAAAUGAACAAUGUGCCAUAUCCAAGGAGCUCUCCUCUCAGCUUCUCCAGAUAUUUGCUGAAGAGACAGUGAAGUGCUUCCUGAGACAGUGGUCAGAUGAGUAUGAAAACAUCAACUUUGAUGUUUCAGUCCAGAACGAUCCAAAGACUUCUACUUGCAUGGUCAUUCUUCAAAUGAUCACCAAAGCCACUGCUAAAUGUUAUUUUGAGUCCGCUACCAGCGUGGCCACCAGUGACAUUGUAGAAGGCGUGUUUGAUUUGGAAAGGGAUACCAUCAGCAGUACUGGAGAGCAGGUCCUCACCUUUAACACAAAGGUAUAGUACACAUACAUCUUUCAUGAAUAACACUGCUGUUGACCUUUUAUAUGAUUCUUUGUGUCAUGGCAUUGCACUGGUUCUUUGCAGUUGAUAUGCUGUACUUUAAGAUAUCGAAAACAUUUCAGUUUGUUUUAAUGUGCCUUUUCCCACCAACCAGGGUUCCAAGAAAGUUAGAAAGGACCACUGUCCUCAAGAGUCUCUGGAGUACCAGCCUCAGAACAUUUCCCCUACUGUGUACUUUACAGAGACGAUGACAACAUCUCAUGGCUCCUUUUCUCCAGAGGGAAUUUAUGAUAUCGCAUCGUCCUUCCCACUUGAAGAGAAGAGUCGCAAACCCUCCCUUUUCACCAGAUUGUCUAGAUCCAUCACGAAAGGCUUUCUCAGCCCAUUCAAAUCUUCAAGGAAAACCAAAUUAUUUAAAUAAAUUCCUCAUUAUAACAACGAGAGCAUUCAUUUGUUCAGAUGAGAAUCUAAUCGUAUUGGUCACAUACGCCGAAAACAACUGUGAGAUGCUUUAUUACGAGCCCAUUCCCAACAAUGCAGAGUUAAAAAGUAAGAAAAUAUUUUCUAAAUAGUAACACAAUAACAAUAACAAGGCUAUAUACAAGGAGUACCAGUACCGAGUCAAUGUGCAUGGGUGCGAGGUAGUUGAGGUAAUACAGUAUGUACAUGUAGGUAAGGGUAAAAGUGACUAGGCAAUCAGGAUAGAUAAUAAACACAGUAGCAGCAGCUAGUGUGAAAGUCGGACAGUGAAUGUGUGGGUAGAGUGUAGUGAGUGUGCAUCGAGCCAAUUCAAGAGAGUCAGUGGAAAACAAUUAGAAAAAUACAUCAAUAACCAAGGGGGUCAAUGCAAAUAGUGCAGGUGGCCAUUUAAUUAACGUUCAGCAGUCUAAUGACUUGGGGGUAGAAGCUGUUCAGCAGUCU